GUACUUACAGCGUCCGGUCAUCUCAAGGAUCUUGCCGGGAUGCUGCCUUCUAUUCCUUACUUACUUCCUGAAACUGCUCAUCUGUUGUCCCUCCAUGUGAAGGAGAUCUUCAGAGAUCUUCAAUCAGUGACCUGGAAGCAAGCAGCUAUUCUUCUUGCUGUAUCAGCUAUUCUUCCUUCAUUAUUUCCUGAGUGAACUGGGUAUGGAGUGGAUGGGCCAGCAGGAACUCAUGCAGCAUAGAGCUCUGCACAAUUAACAUGGC